GAACGCUGGCGGCAGGCCUAACACAUGCAAGUCGAGCGGAUGAAGGGAGCUUGCUCCUGGAUUCAGCGGCGGACGGGUGAGUAAUGCCUAGGAAUCUGCCUGGUAGUGGGGGAUAACGUCCGGAAACGGGCGCUAAUACCGCAUACGUCCUGAGGGAGAAAGUGGGGGAUCUUCGGACCUCACGCUAUCAGAUGAGCCUAGGUCGGAUUAGCUAGUUGGUGGGGUAAAGGCCUACCAAGGCGACGAUCCGUAACUGGUCUGAGAGGAUGAUCAGUCACACUGGAACUGAGACACGGUCCAGACUCCUACGGGAGGCAGCAGUGGAGAAUAUUGGACAAUGGGCGAAAGCCUGAUCCAGCCAUGCCGCGUGUGUGAAGAAGGUCUUCGGAUUGUAAAGCACUUUAAGUUGGGAGGAAGGGCAGUAAGUUAAUACCUUGCUGUUUUGACGUUACCAACAGAAUAAGCACCGGCUAACUUCGUG
rnacentral:rRNA from 1 species